GAGUAUCAUCAGCACUUUUACCUCUUCUAGUUUGGUGUUGUACAAUUCAGGAAUUGAAUUCUGCUCAGCUAAACUUCUUUAAAAAUUUUGCUUUGUCCUAAACUUUUAAGGGCAUAAAAGAGCCAAGCAGAUCAGUAGGUGCCAACUUCAGGAUGCCUUCUAUUCUAGGAUUUCUUGGGAGGGCACUUACAGGUGGACUGAUACCUCUCAUCAUAGGUGCUCUUAUCUCUGUGUUCACCUCCAGGUCCAGGGCUGAUAACGCAUACAGUAACACAGGUCCUGCCUAUGACUCAAACAGAUCCCAGAAUACAUAUGGACACCAUCCAAAGACAAAUUAAGAAAACUCCACCAUGUAAUUAAAUCUAAAGAUUCUAGAAGCACCUCUCACUGGAACCCAAAGAUGUCCUCCUCCUUCUGGGCUUUCAUAACCCAGCAUCUCUCUUCCCUGACAAAUGAGGAAAUAAUUUACACAUUGCUUGCACCUUGAAUUUUGUGAUUUGAUUCAAUUUGGUAAAUCAUAGUUGAUUAAAUAAAUAUGGAUUUUAACCAACA